rnacentral:lncRNA from 1 species
AAAGCAACUGUGAUCCAGAGAGAGUGACUGGUUUACUUUGGAGACAACGGCUGACCUUGAAAUGAUCACACACAGGUUGACAUGGAUACGAGCCAGUGAAAAUAAUGUAAGCUGAUCCUCCGUGUGAGAGAGGCCAGAUCACAUUUACGGUAAGAGAGCGAGACAGAGAGACUGUAUAAUAUGUGUGU